UCAUGAUUCUGACACAAAGGCCCCAGGACACUAAAUGGGCCACAAGAUAGAAUUGGGGCUCCCACUUCUGCCUCCUUGGAAGAAUAAUUCCUGACUCAGGGAAAAUCACUACCUUUCAAACCUGAUUGCUAAGCCAAGCACCGAGACAGCCAACAAGACCCUUAAUGAAGAGACACAGAGAAGGUCAAAGAGGAACAUAGAAAC
rnacentral:lncRNA from 1 species